rnacentral:rRNA from 1 species
UACAGAGGGGGCAAGCGUUGUUCGGAAUUACUGGGCGUAAAGGGCUCGUAGGCGGCCAACUAAGUCACACGUGAAAUCCCUCAGCUUAACUGGGGAACUGCGUCCGAUACUGGAUGGCUUGGAUUUGGGAGAGGGAUGUAGAAUUCCAGGUGUAGCGGUGAAAUGCGUAGAUAUCUGGAGGAACACCGGUGGCGAAGGCGGCAUCCUGGACCAACACUGACGCUGAGGAGCGAAAGCCAGGGGAGCAAACGGG